rnacentral:rRNA from 1 species
GAUGAACGCUAGCUACAGGCUUAACACAUGCAAGUCGAGGGGCAGCAUGCAGGUAGCUUGCUAUCUGUGAUGGCGACCGGCGCACGGGUGAGUAACGCGUAUCCAACCUUCCCCGUAGUAGGGCACAGCCCGGCGAAAGUCGGAUUAAUUCCCUAUGUUCUUGACAGCAGACAUCUAACGUCAAGCAAAGAUUCAUCGCUAUGGGAUGGGGAUGCGUCUGAUUAGGUUGUCGGCGGGGUAACGGCCCACCGAGCCUGCGAUCAGUAGGGGUUCUGAGAGGAAGGUCCCCCACACUGGUACUGAGACACGGACCAGACUCC